AUCUGGAUAAUAGACAACUUAAUUCCUACUGAAACAUACAUACGUCAUCUCUAUCACAUUAUCCUAAAAAUAAAAUGUGUUUAUUGAAAUUGUUGAAAAAAAUAGUAUAUGAAAAGAAUCAAAUUAAAGCACAACUAUUCAUUUUACUUUUAAUAUUUUAUGUAUGGAUAUAAAGUAAAAUAUACUUGCCUUGUGAAUAAUUAAACCUUGAGGUGAAGGAAAAGUCCUCAAGAAUCAAUCCAAAUAGUGCAAUAUCUCGAAUCCAUCAACCUAUUCACAGAUAGACAUAGAAUAAAAAGAAUUAAUACAAGAAUAUAAUCAAGAAUCUAAGAAUAAUAUCAAAGAAAUUAAAGCCAAAUGCGCGUAAAACUUGAAAUAAAGAGGACUAUAUUUAUUUACUUUUGAAAAUUACUAGGGAAACUCACAGCUGCUACCUUUCGAGUGCGCACUGGUAACCUGCUCACUGUGAAAUAAUUCAUAAAUCAUAUAAAAAUAUAUAAAUCGCACUAAGCAAGUCCAAUGCGACGAGCUCAGAGAUUGUUGGCGAAGGAAAUCGAUUUGAGCUCUCCCAUAUAUCCCAAAUAUAUACUUUUUCCUUGGUUCUUACUCUGAUGUGACCAAAAGGCAGAAUCACUUAAGCUCAAAGUGUUGUGAAGUUGGAAAGUGAGAAAGGAAGAUAUAUGAGAAUUAUUGCAAAGAGUUCAAAGAUACUAAGAAAUGAUGUCAAUCUUUAAAUUGCAACUACUCUUUUACCCUUUUAUAUUUUUGGUUAAAGAUCAUGAGUAGUUGACAAGUCUUGAUCAUUCUAAUUGCUUUAGGAAAUUUCCAGGAAAUUGCUGAGAUGACCAUGACCCCAUUAAAAUUCGAAUUUACAUUCCAAUUUCUUUUUUUCAGAAAAGAAUUAUUGUAAUUGAUUAUGCAAAAUCAAUGUGCUGCUACGAAAGAUUGAUAGAAAAGAUUUGUUGGUUUAAUUUUCUGAAUUAUAAGAUGUAUUUGUUUCGGAUUAAUGGUUUUUUGCUCUUUUCUGUCUUAUGUUUGAGCUAUUAAUUUCUGUCUUCAGC
rnacentral:lncRNA from 1 species